UUUAGAGCAUAUCUAUCAUAUCAAAAUAAAAUUAACAACUGUGUUGUAUACACAGUUAUGUCUCGAGUCCUCGUAGUUUGUGUGAGAAAUUUCUAAGUAGUUGAUGUCAAUAGAUUGCCUGUGAAACUGAGAACUUUAAACCUCUGUAAACCAGCGAUGCUUUUGUGUACUCCCAAAUUUAUUACCUUAAUGAUCUUUCAGCAAUAUAUGUCGGCUGCUACAUGGUGGGCUGAUAGCAGUCCUUGUACAACUGGACGAUUUGAUUCAAGAAAAAUCGGUCAUUAGUUUCUCUGUGGCUAACUCUGUUUUGAAAAGAUUGGUUUUGGG
rnacentral:lncRNA from 1 species